rnacentral:rRNA from 1 species
GGAAUUUUGGACAAUGGGCGAAAGCCUGAUCCAGCAAUGCCGCGUGAGUGAAGAAGGCCUUCGGGUUGUAAAGCUCUUUUGUCAGGGAAGCAACGGUCGUGGCCAAUAUCCAUGACUAAUGACGGUACCUGAAGACUAAGCACCGCCUACCGACGUGCCACCAGCCGCGGUACUACGUAGGGUGCAAGCGUUAAUCGGAAUUACUGGGCGUAAAGCGUGCGCAGGCGGUUUUGUAAGUCUGAUGUGAAAUCCCCGGGCUCAACCUGGGAAUUGCAUUGGAGACUGCAAGGCUAGAAUCUGGCAGAGGGGGGUAGAAUUCCACGUGUAGCAGUGAAAUGCGUAGAGAUGUGGAGGAACACCGAUGGCGAAGGCAGCCCCCUGGGUCAAGAUUGACGCUCAUGCACGAAAGCGUGGGGAGCAAAC